CCUGAUCCCAUUCCGAACUCAGAAGUGAAACGCAGCUGCGACGAUGGUAGUGUGGCAUUCGCCAUGCGAGAGUAGUACACCGCCAGGC
rnacentral:rRNA from 1 species